rnacentral:rRNA from 1 species
UCGAGAAUCUUCCGCAAUGGGCGAAAGUCUGACGGAGCGACGCCGCGUGGUGGAUGAAGUCCCUCGGGACGUAAACACCUUUUAUGGAGGAGAAAGUUUAUUGAUGUUACUCCAUGAAUAAGGGGCUCCCAACUCUGUGCCAGCAGGAGCGGUAAUACAGAGGCCCCAAGCAUUAUCCGGAUUUACUGGGCGUAAAGGGUGCGUAGGCGGUCAUAUUAGUCGGGUGUUAAAUCCUGGGGCUCAACCCCAGAAUCGCAUUCGAAACGGUAUGACUAGAAGAAGUCAGAGGCAAGCAGAACUCACGGUGUAGGGGUGAAAUCCGUUGAUAUCGUGGGGAAUACCAAAUGCGAAGGCAGCUUGCUGGGACUCUCUUGACGCUGAGGCACGAAAGCGUGGGUAG